UGGGGAAUAUUGGACAAUGGGGGCAACCCUGAUCCAGCAAUGCCGCGUGUGUGAAGAAGGCCUGAGGGUUGUAAAGCACUUUCAGUGGGGAGGAGGAUUGACGGGUUAAGAGCUAGUUAAUUGGACGUUACCCACAGAAGAAGCACCGGCUAACUCCGUGCCAGCAGCCGCGGUAAUACGGAGGGUGCAAGCGUUAAUCGGAAUUACUGGGCGUAAAGAGUGCGUAGGUGGUUGAAUAAGUUAUCUGUGAAAUCCCUGGGCUUAACCUGGGCAGGUCAGAUGAUACUGUUUGACUCGAGUAUGGGAGAGGGUAGUGGAAUUUCCGGUGUAGCGGUGAAAUGCGUAGAGAUCGGAAGGAACACCAGUGGCGAAGGCGGCUACCUGGCCUAAUACUGACACUGAGGCACGAAAGCGUGGGGAGCAAACAGGAUUAGAUACCCCCGUAGUCC
rnacentral:rRNA from 1 species